AACGAACGCUGGCGGCAGGCCUAACACAUGCAAGUCGAGCGAGGACUUCGGUCCUAGCGGCGGACGGGUGAGUAACGCGUGGGAACGUGCCCUUUGCUACGGAAUAGCCCCGGGAAACUGGGAGUAAUACCGUAUGUGCCCGAGAGGGGAAAGAUUUAUCGGCAAAGGAUCGGCCCGCGUUGGAUUAGGUAGUUGGUGGGGUAAUGGCCUACCAAGCCGACGAUCCAUAGCGGGGUUGAGAGGAUGAUCAGCCACACUGGGACGGAGACACGGCCCCGACUCCUACGGGAGGCAGCAGUGGGGAAUCUUAGACAAUGGGGGAAACCCUGAUCUAGCCAUGCCGCGUGAGCGAUGAAGGCCUUAGGGUUGUAAAGCUCUUUCAGUGGGGAAGAUAAUGACGGUACCCACAGAAGAAGCCCCGGCUAACUCCGUGCCAGCCGCCGCCGUAAUA
rnacentral:rRNA from 1 species